rnacentral:rRNA from 1 species
UACGAAGGGGGCUAGCGUUGCUCGGAAUCACUGGGCGUAAAGCGCACGUAGGCGGCUCUUUAAGUCAGGGGUGAAACCCUGGAGCUCAACUCCAGAACUGCCUUUGAUACUGCAAAUCUCGAGUCCGGAAGAGGUGAGUGGAAUUCCUAGUGUAGAGGUGAAAUUCGUAGAUAUUAGGAAGAACACCAGUGGCGAAGGCGGCUCACUGGUCCGGUACUGACGCUGAGGUGCGAAAGCGUGGGGAGCAAACAGG